rnacentral:rRNA from 1 species
GACGAACGCUGGCGGCGUGCUUAACACAUGCAAGUCGAACGAAGAGCGAUGGAAGCUUGCUUCUAUCACUCUUAGUGGCGAACGGGUGAGUAACGCGUAAUCAACCUGCCCUUCAGAGGGGGACAACAGUUGGAAACGACUGCUAAUACCGCAUACGAUCUAAUCUCGGCAUCGAGGAUAGAUGAAAGGUGGCCUCUACAUGUAAGCUAUCACUGAAGGAGGGGAUUGCGUCUGAUUAGCUAGUUGGAGGGGUAACGGCCCACCAAGGCGAUGCACAGUAGCCGGUCUGGGAGGAUGAACGGCCACAUUGGGACUGAGACACGGCCCAGACGCCUACGGGAGGCAGCAGUGGGGAAUCUUCCGCAAUGGACGAAAGUCUGACGGAGCAACGCCGCGUGAGGGAUGACGGCCGUCGGGUUGUAAAGCUCUGUUAAUCGGGACGAAAGGCCUUCUUGCGAAUAGUGAGAAGGAUUGACGGUACCGGAAUAGAAAGCCACGGCUAACUACGUG